UGAGCUGCCUCUUCGCCUCCGUGGCCGCCUCUCUCCACAGCGUGGAAGGGGGGGGCAAAAACAAAAUGGGUCGCCUUUUUAAUUUAAUUUAAUUUUUUUUCCCUCUGGUUAAGGCCGGGGAGUCCCGCUUCCCUCCGGCCACCCACUGUCGGGGGGUGUGUGGAAAACCAACAAUUCAGCCACCGCCUCAUAAGAACAUACGAUCCCUUCAUCCGGAGGCCUCUCCGUUCUGUGGGUAUGAAGGAUUUCAUUGGAAAAAGAGCCGAUUGUGACAAGAGUUUAAGUUCACGGGCGUUUCUCCUCGUUUCGUUCCCUUCAGCCUGGCUGAAGAAAAAGCUUGGUUUAAGUUUUCCUAAUAUUUUGGAUUUUUCAACCUGGUAAAUGGAUGGUAUGGGGGCAUACACAAUGUCUCAAAUGCAUUUUGUCCCAGGAGUGAAACAAUUGUCUCGCAUUUUGAAGUGGACAGUUCCAAAUACUAUGAACUAUUUUGUAUUCAAAAUCUUGCUUUUCGGUAAUCUUCUCAAUGCUAGUCAAUGCAAUGCACUCAAAUGAUAUUGUAUAUUUAAUUUCAACUCCAGUGUUGAGUUUCAGUUGAUAAAAAUAAAGUUCUGGGUGGAUUCAA